rnacentral:rRNA from 1 species
AUACGUAGGUGGCAAGCCUUGUCCGGAAUUAUUGGGCGUAAAGCGCGCGCAGGCGGUCCUUUAAGUCUGAUGUGAAAGCCCACGGCCCAACCGUGGCGGUUCAUUGGAAACUCGGGGCCUUGAGUGCAGCAGAGGAAAGUGGCAUUCCAAGUGUAGUGGUGAAAUGAGUAGAGAUUUUGAGGAACACCAGUGGCAAAGGCGACUUUCAGGUCUGUAACAGACGCUGAGGCGCGAAAGCGGGGGGAGCAAACAGGAUUAGAUACCCUGGUAUGCAGCGCCGUAAACGAUGAGUGCUAAGUGUUAGGGGUUUUCCGCCCCUUAGUGCUGCAGCUAACGCAUUAAGCUCUCCGCCUGGGGAGUACGGUCGCAAGACUGAAACUCAAAGGAAUUGACGGGG